AUAAAAAUUUAAAAAUUGGAUGCCCUUCAUCAAGAGAUAGAUGCCUUGGCAUAUUCUCGGGAUAGGUGGUACUCGACAAAGAAAAUGAAGAAAUGAAGAAAGAAGACUGUUCAGUGAAAGAAGCCAGAUUCUGUGAUCCCAUUUAUAUGAACCUUAUGAAUAGGUCCCUCUCUGCACCCAGAUUGGUCUCUGAAAUUCCCAGCUUGCAGAAAACAAAGGGAUGUCGUAGAAAAUAUAGAAGUGACAGUAUCUGCUCCACCUGGCAUGAGCUCUUAAGGGAAAUCAUCUCUUAGGCUACAUAGAUAUCAGACAAUCAAAAACUGAGGGGAAGGUAAGGAGUCAGCAGUUCAAAUCCCUUCACUUUUCAGUUAUAGACCAAAGCCUAGAAGGAUCCAGUGAUCUACUCAAAAUAAUUUAUCUUCUGUUGUCAUGCUAGUUUAAUAAUGCAGGAAUUCUGACUUCUGGUUCCAUUGUCUUUCUAAAGCCUAUCACUGGAAAAGUUAUAUCCACUCCAAGUGGCUGUGAGAAGGAUGACUCCACCAUCUGUGUUUUGUGACCUAUCUGUGUUCAUACAUUCCAGGAGGAAAAUCAUAAUGACAUGGACAGAAACUGUAAAUGAUAAGUUAUGAACGACAUGUCACUACCUUCUAACAUCUUGAAUGUCACUGCAUUAAAGAUACUGCUGAUCAAGUAUAUGGGGAAUAGCAUUGUAUCAAUCAGUGCUCAGUAGAGAAACAGUUUUAAUGCAAGAUAAACAAAUGUAUAAGAAUUUACAAGGUUGCCUUACAGUGGCUGCCCACAGAGUUGGAUGUGGGAGAGUGCAAAAGGGCUUUCUGAGCACUGGGGAUCCGAGGAUCCAGUAGAAGGCCUGGAGCUUUCUGUAGUGUCCUGUGUGAGUCAGUAUCAGGAGGCCAAAGGGUCUGUGCUGGAGGCUGGAGAGUCUUUGUCAGAAGCCAGGAGACCAUGUCGAAGGUGAAGGUGAAGACUGCAGCUUUUCGAAAGAAACAGAAGCGAUCCCUCCUUCUUCGCUUCCCUUUUAUACCAUUCUGGCCAGGAGCCUCCCUCAG
rnacentral:lncRNA from 1 species